GAUGAACGCUAGCGGGAGGCUUAAUACAUGCAAGUCGAGGGGCAGCGCGGUUGAAUUUCGGUUUAACUGGCGGCGACCGGCGAACGGGUGAGUAACGCGUACAUAACCUGCCUACUACAGAGGGACAGCCCUGGGAAACUGGGAUUAAUACCUCAUGGUCUUUAUUGGUGGCAUCACUGAUUUAGUAAAGUUUCGGCGGUAGUAGAUGGAUGUGCGUACUAUUAGCUAGUUGGUAAGGUAGUGGCUUACCAAGGCUACGAUAGUUAGGGGGCGUGAGAGCGUGGUCCCCCACACGGGUACUGAGACACGGACCCG
rnacentral:rRNA from 1 species